rnacentral:lncRNA from 1 species
AGAGUCUCAGCAGCACUUUGGUUCAGAGCCUUUGAAGGCGUUGGAGUUGAAGUUAGUUGGUCACACACUCUCCUGCAACUCCUGCUGCGUGUGUGUGAAUGUGUGUGUUCACCGUUUCUUUUCCUGUGUUUCCACGGACUUCCCACCGGGGCCACACUAUGGGAGGACACCGGCUGUCGGCGUCCCGUCAGAGGAUUCUUAAAGUUCCUGAAGCGUGAGCGGGACAAACGGGCAGGAAUUCCUGGAAGAGUCACCCAACUCGACCUCAGUUUCUGCCCGGGGCGUGUGCGAGGCAGGGAGGUGAAGAGCGGCGGUGGAGGCGCAUGUCAACACACGCAGCUCUGCUCGGCCCCCUCCCUUCUCUUUCUUCUCUAUUCACAUUCAUUCCGUGUCGGAAUGAAAGAAAUUGCUCAAUCACCGUGCACAAUCUUGUGAUUUGAGUUGUGUCACUGUUUUUUGGGGGGAAAUGACUCUUGUGGGGGGGUAUAAAGAGGUUGACCCACUUCACCUCUUUAUAGAAAAAAAAAGGUGACUUUCCAUAAUGGAAACAUCAACUUGGUGCAGAAAGAAGCUCUCAGACCCUCGUUUGACCUGAGAAGUCUGGACGAUGGUUCAUUUUAAAAAAGGAUAUCGUCAAAAAAUAAUUGGUUUUAUUUUCGUGACUCUGGAGGAAUUCAGCAUCUCUGGAUAAGGGCGGCGUAAUUAACUCAAGAAGGAUUAAAGACUUAGUUUAGUUUUCCCAUUAAGAAGUUUCUGUGGCUCGUGCAGAUCGUUUUCAUCUUUCAUCUUUUUAUUCGUCAGAAUAUUCUGAUGGUUGAUUUGACAGAAGACACGUUGCUUCAGAGACACGGAGAUGAAGUGUCGCUGGAGGGAGGAAGGGAAGUGGCCUCCAUGCAGGACAGAGGGAUGGGGGGGGUUGUGUGACCCUCCCUGUGAUUAUAGUGUUUGCUGUGAGGCCUGAGUGACCGUGUGUGUGUGUGUGUGUGUGUGUGUGUGUGUGUGUGUGUGUGUGUGUGUGUGUGUGUGUGUGUGUGCGUGUGUGUGUUUGAGUGUGUGUGAGAGUGUGUGUGUGUGUGUGAGAGUGUGUGUGUGUGUGUGUGUGUGUGUGUGUGUGUGUGUGUGUGUGUGUGUGUGUGUGUUUGGUGUGUGUGUGUGUGUGUGUGUGUGUGUGUGUGUGUGUGUGUGUGUGUGUGUGUGUGUGUGUGUGUGUGUGAGAGUGUGUGUGUGUGUGUGCCGAGGGGCCCCCGACCCUUCACACGACAUGAGGUUACCCUGCACAGAGGCUGGUACAGUAAAAAUUGGUGUAAUAUGGUUUAAUAUGCAGCAGUUUAAACCGUUAAUUGGCCUCAAUGCUCUUAUUCUUUACACAAGAGAAAAGACUUUUUAGGUUUUAUUGUCGCCGUCUUGCCUCAAAUGACUCUUUAAGUCUCACACAGACGAUUAACGAGCGUCUGCUGUCGCGCUCCGCCACCACGAGAAAAGAAACUUUCACAGAUGCUCCGGCUGUAAACGUUUCUCCGACUGUUGAGUGAGAGAAGAAAUGAUCCUGUCUGUCUUUGAAAAACUCAAUAUUGAAGUCGUGGGCGUGUCAUGUGGUGGUUGUGAGGGGGGAGGGGGAGGGGCUAAUGAGACGAGAGGGAACAGCUGACACCCAUUAGUCAACUUUCUUUUUUUAUUAUUAUUGGUGACCCGACAGUUAGAGUUUUUCACCCCGGGGCCACUUUGCGCCACAGAUGGUUGAACACACACACACACACACACACACACACACACACACACACACACACACACACACACACACAGAAUGUGUUACUGUAGAGCAGCAGCAUGGGAGGAAUGUGUGUAGUUCAUCAUAACACCUCGUACAGUCAAAGUGAUUAAAUACUCUGUGUGGGCUUUGGUUAUAUGCCAGUUUAUACUUUGAUUUGAUUUGCAUUUUUCUUCCUAUGGAGAUUGACUUAAGAAUUUGUACAUAUAAUCCAUGUGAGUGGAUUUUCGUGGAUGGUAGUCUGAAUGUGAGUUUUUCUCACAUUCAGAUUUGAAUAUUAGUUCAAAGUGGAAACUUUGGAAUGUGAUGACGCUCACACGUUCACUUCCUGACUUGCGGCCCGUGACCUCGGAGCUGCUCGGAGCUCCGUCGUCCUGACGGGGUUCAUCACCUCCGCUCAGAUAUAACCACACGAGCCUCCAGUUCAAGGCCUGCGCGUCCCGGGCCUCAUGCCGUGUGGGUGUGAGGGAGGCGCGAGGUCGGAGGGCGCGCACCUUCCCGACCCGUGAACCCUCCCAGACUCUGGGGGUCGGGGGGGUGAGCAUCGUAACCCCCCCCUCACACAAGCCCUGUUGUUGCUCCGAUCUGAAUGUGAAAGUUUCAGCGGACGACGUUUAGUUUAGAUUCCUUUAAAGUUUGGAAGAACAGUUUGAAAAUAAUGUCUUUUAAAAUGCUAGAAAACGAUGCCCUGCGAAUAAUAACGGAAUGAUUUUCACCCCCAACCCGGGAGCACAGAGGGUCAAAGGUCAGCGUCAUAGAGCGCCAACAACAGUUGGAGCAGGAAACAGUCAUAAAGAUGAAGAGCAGAUCAGUUUCUCUCCCCAUAAAUGAGAGCAGGUCGGAUUAGGGAGCGGAGAACGACGGAGUCUGGUCGCGGCUUAUCAGGUACUACUUCCCCUGACCCCUCCCCCCCGACCCCCUGACCCCUCCACCGCCUCGUUUUAAUUGGUCCGUGGCUGCGGCCUCACGUAACCAGGGGGACGUGAGACUUUUCAUUCUGAUUUGAAUGUGUUUUUUUCCGUGGUUCGUGUCACAGGUUGAACACGACGCGACAGAAUAUCAAUCCUCUCCGCCGGUGGCCGCCGCUGCCGGCGGGGUGAACAAAGCAGUGAUUGACAGCUCGCUCCGUCUUGUACAUAUUUACACGGGGCAGAAUAACUCCCUUUAUUUUAUGAAAGAUCUACUCAAGCGAAAACAUGAAACUUUUUUAAUUUCAUGAAUCGAGAUCGAUUCUGUAAACUGAACGGCAGCGGUGACUUUCAGGCUCUUGCAUCACUUGAAACAUGGGAAACGUGACUUGCCGUCAGACUGUCUGACCUUGGUGAAGGUCGCUGCCUGAUUGAACAGACGGAGAAAAAGGAAAAAAACACUGCGAGAGGCGUCUUUUUUAUUUAAAUGUAGUUAACUGGAAGCCGGAUGACGAAAUGAAAGUGUCACCUCACUGGAGGAGCGUGUUUGUUCUUCUGAAGCCAGCAGAUGGUGCGUGUGGUGCACGGAAGCUGAGCGAGGGGAUGGAAGUGGAGCGGUCGUCCAAACCGCCGCUCGGGCUCCGAUGGAGAGCGUCGCUCGCAUAGUGAGUUAUUGCGGCUGGAGAUAAAGUUGCUGACGGUGCAGCGGCUGCAGGAAACCAGAGCCGCCAAAGUUGCAAGUGGAGCAACCGGGGAGUUUGCCAGCGGUCGUCUCUCGGUGUUCAUCCUCAAAUCGAUCCACGAAUAAAUUGGAGUUGCAAAGUUCACUGUGCAGCUGCAAAGGGAGCAUGGAUAGUUGCUCCGUGCGAUGAGUCGUCUCCAGGUCACGUGAUCGUCUACGAAUACAAAUCAAUAAGGCUCGGAGAAUUAUCAGUGGACGGUUCCCAGAUCUGAUUCUCAUCAAGUUUUAUAUAUAUAUAUAUAUAUAUAUUAAAAGAAUGUCCUCCAAAAAUAUGCGUCCAUAAAUACUUUGUAGUUGACUUUGCUUUCCCGCAGCAUCAUAUAUUUACAGUUAAUCCCCCUCAAAGAAACGACACCGGGACAUCAAGAGCUCCGUUGUGCCGAGGAGAAACAAUUUGUUCUGCGAUUUGGAAUAAAGCGUUGCAGUUAUAUUCCGUGGGGAUUAGUGGGGAUUAGAGCGAAGCCACCAGGCUCUUCCACACAAAGUGUUAAUCAUCCAAUCAUCCCUUCUCUAUCAUCACGACGACUCAGCCCUUUUUCUUUCCGUAAACUUCUCCGUUUCUUCGUUCCAGCGGGUUUGGUACGAACUCGCCUGAUUGUUUUUCCCCGACACCCGGAGAGCGUCACGUCUCACAACCUUUGGCUGCUGUGAAAUAAACCUGGUCCGAGCACUUCACUGUCAAAUUUGACGUUUUCCUUCUAUUUUUCCGGGGAGCGAGACGCCGCUUUGUUGCUUUGUUGUCGACGGCUCGCGGGUUGUUCCUUUUCACCGAGGGACACGAGUGGCGCGGCGGGCGCCUCGUGUCCGACCGUACCGAGCUACAAACUGCGCUUGUUGAUGAGGGAAUUGAACGCUGAAAUUAUGCAAAUGAGAAAAAGCGCCUGGAAGUAAGUUUUGGUUUCACGAGGAUGAUGAAACGUGUUGAAUAAUAUGAUGAACAAUUCACUGUAACUCGCUUCUUCAUCAUUUCGUAGCACGUUAACAUCGCCAUCGUUAUUAACGCGUUUUAAUACUGCAAGUAGCUUUUUGUUGAAAGCAACACAGGAUACAGGAGAAUGAAGCUGAUAUUCUUCAUUAUGAAAGGAGGUUGAACAAAUACACAUUUAUUAAACGUAAAACUCAUUUCUAGACGAGUUUGAAAGCAGACAUUUUCCUGAUGUUGAAGUUGAAGUGAGUCACGUUCACAACAGCAGGAACAUCUGCGGAACAUUCAGGUUGUGGUUUCCCUCUUUGGGGGGGUGCAUUUUACUUUGGGGGGUAAUUCAAGUUACUGCAAAUAUGUUUAUGUGAGAAAAAAAAGAAGCUUUGACUCAUAAUUAAAUCUGCAUUUGAAUUUACACAAAGCGUCUUCAGGACUUCUUUGAAACGCCCACGUCCGCACUUCGCACCUCGACCUGAUCCCUCGCGGAUUAUGUUUCUCCUGAAUCCCGGCAGCGCUCUCGUCUCUCUUCUCUCCUUUAUUUGGGAGGAUGUGGGCGUAAUCACCUCACAAAAACCAGGAAACGGGGGUCGACGGGAUGAAAGGGGGGGCAGCUGGAAUAAUGUGGUCUAGUUUUCAGUGACAAAAGGAGAAGAAGAAGAAAACCUAGAAAUCCUUUAAUUCCCAUACAAGACCACUUUCUCCCAUUAGUCUCCUGCACCACAGUUUACAGGUGAAGAAGCUUUGUGCAAACAUACGGAGAUAAUAAUCACCUGUACGCCACCGGGCCUGCGAGGCCUGCGAGACGCUACGAGACGCUAUGAGACGCUGCGAGGCCUGCGAGGCCUGCGAGACGCUAUGAGAGGCCUGCGAGCGCUACGAGGCGCUGCGAGCGCUGCGAGAGGCUGCGAGACGCUGCGGAGGCCUGCGAGGCCUGCGAGCCGCUACGAGCGCUGCGAGCGCUGCGAGGCCUACGAGACGCUGCGAGGCCUACGAGACGCUGCGAGGCCCUACGAG